rnacentral:rRNA from 1 species
CCCUUAGAUGUCCGGGGCCGCACGCGCGCUACACUGAAGGAAUCAGCGUGGCUUUCUCCCUGACCCGAAAGGGUUGGGAAACCCGUUGAAUCUCCUUCGUGAUAGGGAUUGGGGCUUGAAAUUGUUCCCCAUGAACGAGGAAUUCCCAGUAAGCGCGAGUCAUAAGCUCGCGUUGAUUACGUCCCUGCCCUUUGUACACACCGCCCGUCGCUACUACCGAUUGAACGGUUUAGUGAGGGCCUCGGAUUGGUCUCGGCCCGCUCUUUACCGGGCGGCGCCGUUGGUCGAGAAGACGCGCGAACUUGAUCGUUUAGAGGAAGUAAAAGUCGUAACA